AAGGGAUUUGCUUAAUUGGUAUAGCAUUUGUUUUACACACAAAAUUAGUAUAGGUUCGAGUCCUAUAUUCCUUA
rnacentral:ncRNA from 10 species